rnacentral:rRNA from 1 species
CCUACGGGGGGCAGCAGUGGGGAAUAUUGGACAAUGGGGGGAACCCUGAUCCAGCCAUGCCGCGUGUGUGAAGAAGGCCCUCGGGUUGUAAAGCACUUUCAGUGAGGAAGAACGCCUGGUGGUUAAUACCCAUCAGGAAAGACAUCACUCACAGAAGAAGCACCGGCUAACUCCGUGCCAGCAGCCGCGGUAAUACGGAGGGUGCGAGCGUUAAUCGGAAUUACUGGGCGUAAAGCGCGCGUAGGUGGCUUGAUAAGCCGGUUGUGAAAGCCCCGGGCUCAACCUGGGAACGGCAUCCGGAACUGUCAAGCUAGAGUGCAGGAGAGGAAGGUAGAAUUCCCGGUGUAGCGGUGAAAUGCGUAGAGAUCGGGAGGAAUACCAGUGGCGAGGGCGGCCUUCUGGACUGACACUGACACUGAGGUGCGAAAGCGUGGGUAGCAAACAGGAUUAGAUACCCGUGUAGUC